AGCGAACGUUUGCGGCGGGCUUAACACAUGCAAGUCGAACGGGCGUGUUCCUUUCGGGGGCGAGUCAGUGGCGCACGGGUGGCGUAACACGUAGGUAAUCAACCCUCUGGUUGGGGAGUAACACUUCGAAAGGAGUGCUAAUACCCGGUAUGGCGCAGCGGUCUUCGGAUCGCGGCGAGAAAGACCCGCAAGGGUUGCCAGAGGACGAGCCUGCGGCCCAUCAGCUAGUUGGCGAGGUAACGGCUCACCAAGGCGAAGACGGGUAGCUGGUCUGAGAGGAUGAUCAGCCACACUGGAACUGAGACACGGUCCAGACUCCUACGGGAGGCAGCAGUGGGGAAUAUUGCGCAAUGGGCGAAAGCCUGACGCAGCCACGCCGCGUGAGCGAUGAA
rnacentral:rRNA from 1 species